GCUGAAGAGAAAGCUGGGGAAGAAAGAGAAGCAUCUCUCUUACCUUCCUGUCUUGCAUGGCUGGUGUAACCGUAUCUAUUUAUUUUGUCUUCUAAAUCAGAAAAAAAAAGGAUCCCUAUUGCCUGGUCCUUUUCUUUCAAUUAUAACUGUCAAAUAACAAACUGAAGCCCAGUUGACUUUCUGCCUUGCGGACGUCAGCACAUUGACUCCUGGCACAUUGAAAGUGAUAACAGCUCUUCACCUGAGAGUGUGGCAUGAAUAUGCCUUGUACUGUGAGAAGGAGAGAUGCAUUCCCUUUGCAUGGCUUGGCUGCUGAUGAGAAGAUGAUGGCCAGACACACAAAAAGGAUUGUACACGAUCCAAAAAAAUGCUGUAGGAAAAAGAAAAGUUAACUUCAUGCCUGCUGAGGGUAUCACAGUUGGAGAGGAAUAAGCAACUUCUCCCCCAGCUGUAUCUAGGGCUCGGCCAGUACAAGAGAGAUGUGGAUGUACUGGAGAGAGUUCAGCAAAGGGCCAUAAGGAUCAUGAAGGGCCUGGACAACCUCUCCUGUGAGGAGAGGCUGAGAGAGCUGGGGCUGCACAGCUGGAGAAGUGAAGGAGACUCAGGGGGAUCUCAUCAAUGUCCAUAAAUCUCUGAAGGGAGGGUGCCAGAAGCCAGAGCCAGGCUCUGUCAGUGGUGCCCGAGUGCCAGGACCAGCAGCCAUGGGCACAAACUGGAGCACAGGAGGUUCCCUCUGAACACCAGGAGCCCUUCUGUGCUGUGCAGUGAUGGAGCACUGGCACAGGCCCACAGAGGCUGUGGGUCUCCUCCUUGGGGAUCUCCCAGAGCUGCUUGGAUGUGGCCCUGGGCACCCUGCUCUGGGUGUCCCUGCUGGGGCAGGGGAUGGAGUGGAGGCACCCAGAGGGCCCUGCCAGCUUCAGCUGUGCUGUGCUUCUGUAAUUAAAAGUCCACUUAACAUCUUCACUUACUACAUGGCUUAGAAAAAUACUGGGGCUACUAAAUAGUUAAAAAAUGUAGUAUGUGUCUGUUUUUGCUAUUGACAAAAGAAUUUGUGUCAAAACAAUCAAAAUUCUGUUGUGUAGUCCAUAGGAGGUAGUUGUGCAGCAAGUGGCUUUGCAGGUGCCUGUUCUUUCCAGGGUGCCCCACUGAGCAAAUAUGAUGUUUUCAGUCAGUGUCUAAAACUGUUUCCAUAUGUGAUGAUAGCACGGAGCAGUAAGAACAGACCUGAACCUCUUUCAAGACGCAUUAACAUGCUGAGUCCCGUUAGCAUUGAUCUUUUGUGAGGAAGAACAGGAUCUCCUCUUCAAAAUCUCACACGAAAUUUGGCAGGAAAUCUUUGCCCUUCAACAUAAACAAACAAAACCAGACGUUCUAAGAUUUCAGUUUCAGCAUUUAACUCUGUGUAGUUACAUGUGACUUUUCCAUACGUUUUCUCAGUUCGUAGGAAUUUUGUGACUUGUCUUUGGCCAUCUCUGAAACAUUGGACAACACUGUGCUGCUAAGAGCAGAAAGAAGUUGAGUUCAAGGACAUUCAACUUUCAGACAAGGCGACACUGAACUCAAAACAAAGUGAUAACAAGAGAGCCCAGUCUGCCACCAAAAUGUUUGCAAAUAUAUAUAUAAAAUUAAAUGGAAACAUCAGAACUGUGCAAAGCUGAACUACCCUCUGUCCUAGCACUACCAGUUUACCACAGCCCACAUCAGGAUCCAGAAGCCACAAGUUGUGCCAGUGAUGAGGUGUGAGAUUGAGCCUAUGAAGAUCUCCCUUUCUUGUCCUUUGUUUUAAUGCUCAUCUAGCCUCAACUUUCUGGAGCUUUGCACAAUUUUUCCAUCCCUGCUUACUCAGUGAGGCAUCACUGCAGAUGCCAAGCAAGUACAGACGGGGUUAUAACUGGGCAGGGCUUCCCUGGGAUGUGAAGGACCCAUUAGCACCUCUUCUUUGUCCUGUCACAAGCAGUGUGGCUGCCACCACCAGUCAAUCAUUGAAGUUUCAGCAACAAUGAGUACAUGAACUUGAUUUAACUUUAGUAAUUACAACCACUUUCAAAAUAGUUUCUUGAAGCUUUUGGCACUGUUUUUGAUGUUGAGUAAAAACUAUUUCCCCUUUGCCCACUCUGCCUGGAGCUUGUACCGCAGAUGUAGCGCUGAUGGACAUGGUUAGCGGGCAUGCUGGGAUGGGCUGAUGGUUGGACUCAGUGAUCUCAGAGGUCUUUUCCAACCUUAACAACUCCGUGAUCAGAUCAGAAGUGUGUGACAUUCACUGUCUUUCAGAAUCUGGAGACUUUGCAGGGAAAAUCCUACUAGCUUUUGCUGGGGUCGGUGUUUCCAGGAGCAUUGCUCAACAAUGUGACCAUCUUUUCCUGCUAAUCGUCUUGUAACAAUUCCCACUUCUGUUCCUUUACAUAUCUAACCCUCUCAAUGGAACUGAAUAAAUAGUGCCAGUUGACUGGGGUAUUUCCAUCAGUUCCUGGCUGUUUUCCUUCUCAAUGUCUGCGUUGAUUUGUAACAAGAAAUUCAGGUUGCCGAGUUUCACCAGUCUCAUUCAUCUGUCUGGCCAGGUGGUCGGCACAGAACUGACAACUGUCCCAUGAGCAAACAGUGUCACUUCUUUUCAGUAUACCAACCCAGCAGUGUGUCAGCAGGCUGGCUGGGUAGUGAGCUAACUGCCCAAUCUCCUGCCUCAUCCCAUAGCUUCCUUUUUGCCUUUCCAGUUCUAAGAGCUUCCGAACUGUGGAUUCUCAAUUCCUGCAGUAUCUGAAAGCAAUGGGAAAAUGACCAAGAAGACUUUUGCAAGGAAAACCUCGCCUCCUAGCAGCUCGCUGCAGUCUCUACUGGCUCUCAUUUUAUGUCUCCCACUCCUCCAGCACUUUAUUUGUGGGUACUCCUGCCAUUGCUGGCACAGCAAGCUCUCAGGCUGAAAACCCUUUGACCAGGCUGUGCCUCUUGGUAGGCUGCACAUUAGAUUCUGCCUUGACAGAGAGCAAGAGCCAUUGGGUGGACGGUGAUCAGCCCUAAUUUAGUAUAAGUAGUAUCUGGUGUCAUCAGAAGGCAUUCCUUUUGUGGGGAGUGUGACAGAGCAGCAUGAACAGUGAAUGGAAGAGCAUGGGUAGAAAGAAAGUGUGGAUUAAACUAUUUCGUAGCUGUCCUCCUCCACUAAAGUCAAUGGCCACCAGGUUGUCAUCUGAAACUGACCUAUUUGGCAAUAGCAUUGUGCACUCACUAGCUAAACAUUAGUGAAAACUAGUACUGCUCCUAAUAUUAGGCCUUCAAAAAAUGCUCUAGCAUUCCAAAGAUAUAGUAGUUGACUGAAUUGAAAAUGGAAAGGCCCAAGACUGUGUUCCACCAAAUAAGCUUGUGGUACUAAUAGGAAUGGGAGGGUGGUUGGACUAGAUGAUCUUGCAGGUCGUUUCCAACCUUGUGAUUCUGUGAUUCUGUGAAGUUCUUUACAUUGAGGUUUUUUUAAGAGUUUACACUAAACUCUAUAGGAAAGCUCUUGCCUUUGAGCCCAAGUGUGGCAUAUUCAACAUCACACCCGAAUCCCAUAGAGCAGGUGUGCAUCGCAGUCCUUAACGUGCGCUGCUUAGCAGGAAUUUGGACAGCCUUCUAUUUCUGAUAGUCUGUCACUGGAUGCCAUUUUACUCUUGCCUCUAGGACUUGUAUAGGUGAUACUAAAUGUAUUUGCUUAGAUGCAGGUACAAUUUAUGCCAACUACAUUAAAACAAAGCAUCUCGCUGGCUUUACAGCUUUGUACCUCAUUUGCUCUUGUGGUAAAGGGUGAAUAAAGCUUAACUGGAGACAUAAUAGCAGCACUGUGAGAGGUUCCAGAUUUGGUUUCUAAUUGCUGACCUGUAUUUAAUGUUAUUUAAAAUUGUAAGGGCUCUUAAACCGCAAUAUCUGUCUCUUUUUUCACAUUAUAACCAAACUUUGAUUAAAGCAGUUUUAUGGCUUUAUUUCCACUGUAAGCAGUGACUAUAACGAAAAAUACAGGAUAUAUUAAUAAACCAGUAAAGAAUGUACAUUUAAUAUAUGUUAAAGAGCACUUUGGGUUAUUUUAUGAACUAUUUAAGUAUCAUUAAGUCAUUAAACUUUUCUUCUGCAGAGCUGUGAAGCAACUUGACUUAAACACUCAAGUAUAUAUUGUUUUUAUUAGCUUUGCAGCUACUAGACUGAGAAAUGCAGUUACUACUUAAGCCUUUCAGUCAGGCUUUUGUUUUCAAUAGCUGUAGUUCACAGAAUCACAGAAUGGCUUGGGUUGGAAGGGACCUUAAAGCCCAUCCAGUCCCAUCCCCCUGCUGUGCGCAGGGCUGUCAGCCAGCAGCUCAGGCUGCCCAGAGCCCCAUUCAACCUGGCACAGCUGCCCAGAAAAGCUGUGGAUGCCCCAUUCCUGGAGGCACUCAAGGCCAGGUUGGAUGGAGCCAUGGGCAGCCUGAGCCGCUGGCUGGCACUGCCCUGAGAGGGGAUUGGGACUGGAUGGGCUUUAAAGUCCCUUCCAACCCAAGCCAUUCUGUGAUUCUAUGAUUAUGUCUUUAAAAAAAAAAAAAAAGCUGUCAUUCCAAAGAUUCAGUAAUUGACUGAAUUGAAAAUGGAAAUGUUUGAUCCAGGACUGUGUUCAACCAAUUUUUUGGGAAACUCAAUUAUGUGAAGUAAACAUAAUGUGUUCCUUGCCCAUCAGUCAUCAUAGAGAGCUCCAAAGAACACCUGUGAUAUUUUUAUUUCUAGUUCUUUUGACGUAUCACACCAAUCCACAGUGAUGUGUAGAAACAGUAGUGUAGUUUUUUGGGGUUUUGGAUACAGUUUGCCAGCAAGCACAGUUGGAUCAGGAGAAAAACAUGUCACCGGGAUUGCUGAUAACAGUCUUGGCUUUGCAGUACAUUUGUAGUAUAAAAGAUAAAGAUAAUCCCACUAGAAUGUCUUUGUUAUGAGCUGGUUAUCUUCACAGUCAUUAGAAAGAUGCAGAAAUGUAAGGGCUUCUUAAACUAGAUCCAUUAAAUCACUGUAAAGGAGCUUGUUUUCUCUCUACUGAUUUAGAGUGAGAAUUCCAGUGAGUAAUUCUGCAGAUCAGGUAAGACAAAUUCUACCUUCUGUGUCAACAAAUAAAACAGUUCCAGGCAAAAUUCUCUCAUCACGAGAUGGAGUUCUCCUCUAAAGCCUGUGCCUCCCAUUUUCCCUUUCCCUUCGUAUUCCAUUUGUUAUGAUAAAGCAAUUCCCCAAUCUUUCACAGAAAUGGCAAGCACAUACAGCUUAGUAUGCUAUUUGUUUUCCUGCCCAGAGUCAUGGAGCCAUUUCUCUGCUUCCUGAAGGGGAGGGAUCCAACUAUGCCUGGAUGUGGAAUGUGUUAAAGCCUCCUACUUCAUAGUGUCUUGACAUAAACAGGAUAAUAUUCAGUCCUGGCUCCAUAAAGUAAUGUGGAAAGCAUUUGGCAGCGUUCCUAAAUUCUUGCUGUUUAAACAUGAAGAAGCAGAUCAUUUCUGCAUACCAGCACUGAUUUAUAGAAACUGAAUGCUGUGCAGAAUCCUUCCAUUUAAACUAAGCAAGUGAUGCAGGA